GGGGAAUAUUGCGCAAUGGGGGAAACCCUGACGCAGCAACGCCGCGUGAAGGAUGAAGGCCUUCGGGUUGUAAACUUCUUUGAUUGGGGACGAAUAAUGACUGUACCCAAGGAACAAGCCACGGCUAACUACGUGCCAGCAGCCGCGGUAAUACGUAGGUGGCAAGCGUUGUCCGGAAUUACUGGGUGUAAAGGGCGUGUAGGCGGGGAUUUAAGUCAGAUGUGAAAUUCCGGAGCUCAACUCCGGCGCUGCAUCUGAAACUGAAUUUCUUGAGUGCUGGAGAGGAAAGCGGAAUUCCUAGUGUAGCGGUGAAAUGCGUAGAGAUUAGGAGGAACACCAGUGGCGAAGGCGGCUUUCUGGACAGUAACUGACGCUGAGGCGCGAAAGCGUGGGGAGCAAAC
rnacentral:rRNA from 1 species